UAGCUUAAUUGGUAAAGCGCUCGUCUAGCAUACAAGAGUCCUGAGUUCAAAUCCCAG
rnacentral:tRNA from 1 species